GAUGAACGCUGGCGGCGUGCUUAACACAUGCAAGUCGAACGGAAAGGCCCAAGCUUGCUUGGGUACUCGAGUGGCGAACGGGUGAGUAACACGUGGGUGAUCUGCCCUGCACUUCGGGAUAAGCCUGGGAAACUGGGUCUAAUACCGGAUAGGACCACUUCUUGGAUGUUGUGGUGGAAAGUUUUUUCGGUGUGGGAUGAGCUCGCGGCCUAUCAGCUUGUUGGUGGGGUAAUGGCCCACCAAGGCGUCGACGGGUAGCCGGCCUGAGAGGGUGUACGGCCACAUUGGGACUGAGAUACGGCCCAGACUCCUACGGGAGGCAGCAGUGGGGAAUAUUGCACAAUGGGCGCAAGCCUGAUGCAGCGACGCCGCGUGGGGGAUGACGGCCUUCGGGUUGUAAACUCCUUUCGCUAGGGACGAAGCGUUUUGUGACGGUACCUGGAGAAGAAGCACCGGCUAACUACGUG
rnacentral:rRNA from 1 species